rnacentral:lncRNA from 13 species
AUGGAAAGGGAAGGGAUCGGGGCUUGGCCGCGGGGCGGAGAGGUCCCCCUACUUCCGGAUCCGGCCUCUCCUGGGCAACUCCUCGCUCGGGGUUCCUUGGUUACCUGGCAGCGGUGCCUACUCGAGGCCAGGGAGUGGCGGAGAGAGAGAUCGUCCGCCCUCCACGCAAGCCACAAAAUGGAGGCCCCCGCUAGAGUGGCAGUUCCGGUGGCAAACUGGAAAGAAAUGAAGUUUUUCCUUCAUUCUCCCCACGACCGAGAAUCUUUCUGUUUUCCUUUCCAACUCGUGACCCUCUGUGAACAGUGCCUAUGCACGGAAACAACUGCAACUUUCUGGCCGGGGCCACUCUGGUGAAACUGAAAGUCUUCCACGUGAAAGCACCUGACCAACACCACAGG